UACGUAGGGGCCUAGCGUUGUCCGGAUUUAUUGGGCGUAAAGAGCUCGUAGGCGGUUCGGCAAGUCGGAUGUGAAAUCUCCACGCUCAACGUGGAGGGGUCAUUCGAAACUGACGUGACUCGAGUCCGGUAGGGGAGUGUGGAAUUCCCGGUGUAGCGGUGAAAUGCGCAGAUAUCGGGAGGAACACCAGUAGCGAAGGCGGCACUCUGGGCCGGUACUGACGCUGAGGAGCGAAAGCGUGGGGAGCGAACAGG
rnacentral:rRNA from 1 species